rnacentral:lncRNA from 1 species
GCCAGUUGGAAGAGCCACAGAGGUGUCCCUUUGCUCUGUUCUGAAAGCUUGGGGGUUGGGGGGAUCUAGCAGACCUCAGUCACCUGCUGCAGGAAGCGGAUGCUCAAACUGUCACCAGUCCCAGAGUGGUGCACACCUGUAAUCGCAGCAGUCAGGAGAUGCAGGUUGGAGGACCAGGAGUUCAAGGAUAGCCUCGGCCACGUAGGAAGUUUGAGGCCAGCAUGAUCAACAAGAGACUCUAUUUCAGAAAACCAAAACCACACGAUGACAAGAUGUUUCAAGGCCACAGCACGGAGAGGCACGACUGCUCACUUAUCCAUCACUUAUCCAUCAUGUUAAAGAUUAUCUCGCAGGUUACUCUGUGGAAGGUGACACGGGCCCCCAGUGAACAUCAGUGUCCCCAUGUGCAGUCUGCACAAGGCAACUCAGCAGGGAGAGAGAGGUCCUUGUCUGCUGGCCCCGAGUGGGUGCCUGAGGAGCCACGUGAUGGGAGGAGGGGUCACUCCGUUCCUGUUAGAAGUCUCUGCUUAACCCUCCUGUGCCGGGCU